UACGGUAGGUGGCAAGCGUUGUCCGGAUUUACUGGGCGUAAAGAGCGCGCAGGCGGUCGUUCAAGUCGCGUGUGAAAGCCCCCGGCUCAACUGGGGAGGGUCACUCGAUACUGAUCGACUCGAAGGCAGGAGAGGGUAGUGGAAUUCCCGGUGUAGUGGUGAAAUGCGUAGAUAUCGGGAGGAACACCAGUGGCGAAGGCGACUACCUGGCCUGUUCUUGACGCUGAGGCGCGAAAAGCUAGGGGAGCAAACGGGG
rnacentral:rRNA from 1 species